ACAUACCUGUGCCGCACACACCCGCCUGUUUAUGCGCGCUCCGCACGGAGCACAUGGCCGCACGGACGCGGCCGCCCGCCCUGUGCGCAGCGUGAGCGCAGCACCUGGAGCUCCCCGGCCCCGCGUCUCCUCCCCGCCUCGCGUCGAUCGAACCCCUCGCCGCUCGCCGCUCCCGGCUUGGCUCGACUCGGCGGCGGGCUGCCCGCGGUUCGGGGUCCCGCUCCGAUACGGGCUCGCUUCGCUCGGUCAACAGGUCCCCGCGCCGCUCCCGCGCUCCGUCCGAGCCGCCACCUCCGUUCUCCGCCUCCUCCUCCGUGCGGCACGCGGGUACUCUCGGCCCGGCGGUGCGGGCACGCCCGGCUCCCGAGCCCGUUCCCGCUGCAACGUGAGCCCUCCCCGUGCCGGCGGCGGCCGCGGGCGCGCGGCGGGGAAGUUGUGGCCGGCGCUGCGCAUCCCCCAGCUGCAGCCGCUGCCCCGCGCCGCCGCUCGCUGCCGCGGGCUGGGCUCGGAGGGGUAGGCGACGGGGUCUCCGCUCCCUCUUCUCCCGCGCCUUCUCCUCCCGCUCCUCCGCUCGCGGAACUCCUCCCGCCACCCCCCCCCGCCACCUCCUCCCCCGCUCCGGGGCAGGCGGCCGGCUGCCGGCACGCCGCUCCCCGCCGAAGUUUGCCUCAGGCCGGGCCGGGCCCCCGUCGCCCCUCGGCUCUCCGCGGGGCCGCCGCCGCAGUCCCUCGGGGCCAGGCCGCGGCUCCCGGGAGGAGGGGAUUCCGCGGCGCGGAGGUUGGGGGGAGGGGGACGAGUGGAGACGCCGGCUCCGGAUGGGUCCCCCUUCCUUUUGGGUGGUCCCCGCUCUUGGCUGGCUUCCUUCGGUCUACCCCCCGCCCCUCCCGAGGGCAGCCUGCCCAGCGCCCCCCCCCCGCGCCUCUGGCUUCAGCGAUGUAUUUACUUUUCCAGCGGGGGUGUGAGAGUGUGCGCGCUGCCGCUACCUUCUUUCUUUCUCUCUCUUUCCUUCCCCUUUCCCCUUCCUCCCGUCCUUCUCCCGGGCUCGGGUACCGCUCCCCCCGCCCCCUCCUCCCUCGCCCCGCGGCCGCUCUCGCCCGGCCGGCCCCCUCCGCCCUGGCCCCGGGGCCCUCCGGCGGCGUGCGCCCGGCGCGCCCCCUCCCCGUUCCCCCCCGCGGUCCUCGGCCAUUGGCUUGUCCUGCUCUCUUUUUCAUGUCCAGCCCCCGAUGA
rnacentral:lncRNA from 1 species